rnacentral:tRNA from 1 species
GUCGUUGUUGUAUAGUGGUGAGUAUCCCCGCUGUCACGCGGGAGACCCGGGUUCGAUCCCCGGCAACGGCG